UCUUGUGUAAAACUCUUUAUUGAAAAAAACGGUGACCAAAAGCUGCUACUUGAUUGUCAUAAGUGCUUUCAUAAUCUCGGCAUCCAGAGCCAAAUCUAUGCGCUGUCACAAAAGGCUUCCAUUACUCAUAGUUUAUUUAAAUUCAUUGGCAAGAUACAGCACGAUUAGGCAAUAGCGGUAUAGUGUAUUGAGCACCACACUCACCUAAUCAAACUGAAUUCAACUAGUGGCAACACUGUCAUGGGUUGUAGCUCCUCCCACUUGCAGGCUGAGGAGUCAUGUGUCUAGAUUCUAGACCAGAGUUCCGCUACUGGCAGCCCACAGGUGGUUUUAUUUGGCCCCCCAAGUCUUCUGAGCAACAUUUUCAUUGUUGGACAUAAAAAAUUGUAAAAACACCAGGAAAUCAGCUCCAAGUGAUUUUAAUUUGGGAAAUCUGUCCCAAAGUAUUUCCACGCAUAAUAGAGAGACACGUGAUCAUAUAGAAAUGUAAGCAAGGUUUGAAAUUAUACUUUUUUUUGUAAAAUAUUAUGUAUAUUUGGGCUUCUUGCGGUCAAUUUACAGUCUACAAAUUAUUUGUAAUUAUGUUCUGGCCCCCCGACCAUCCACUCAAGAAACAAUCGGCCCGCGGCUGAAUCUAGUUGAUGAUCCCUGCUCUAGGCCAUAAUAUUGACUUGCACAUGUUCAGAAGACAUGUCUGGGAAUGUGUCUAUCUUACAGAGAGAGAGAGAAAGACUCCUACAAAGAUAGUUGGACAGAGCCCACCCUCAUGUGCAAAACACGUCAAAGGAACUAAAGACUUGUUUGCAUGUCUGUCCUUGUUAUCUGUGUGACUGAGCAAAAGUGAGUAAAUAUUGAUAGCUGCAUCAUCUUCCUACAACCAACCUCCUGAUCUGAGGAAAACUUGAUCAUACACACACUAAAUUGAGGACAGAUACAGUAUGUACAGGUUCAGGACUAUUUACAUAUUUCCCAAAAAUCUCCUCCACCAAUGCCCACCGAAAAUCUACCCCUCUCCUAGCAUUUAGUUCUCCCUUCCCUAACAAUCCCAUAAUUAGCAGAGUAGCGGUUUCCUCCUUACCAAGGUACAUAUCCCAUCAAAGUAACACAAAAAUCCUCAUCCCUGUUAUGCCGCCUGUAGACCCAUUAGAAUAGUCAGUAACAACAAUAAACAUGGGCAGUAAUGACAAAUGUUUCAAAAUAAUGCCACAUUAUAAAAUUGGGAGGUGCAAGUGUGUGAUUAUAUUAGGUGGGUUUGUGAUGGAAAAUAAAAUGAAUCAACGCUAGCAUAAGGGGAUGGCCUUCACCAGCAUACUGUUGACAAGCAGUUGAGAGCAUGAAAGUAAAUCUAUUACAGAGUAAAAUUAAUAUUCAAAAAGUGUAUUAAUCUAAAUGGAAUUACAUGGACCCUGACAGCUAUAGAACAAUAUCACAAGACUUAAAUGGGGAUGACAAUGUUUUCUGUUAUGCAGUUAAGCCAAUUUGGUUGAAUGCAAUAGUAUCAUGCUGCAGUUAUAGACACAGAAAGGACCACCGCCUGUCACCUGAAGUAACAUAUUUCUACUGUUUUAUAUCUGCAAAGUCCCCACAUUCAUCAGGCAAAAGCAAAUACACAAUGACAAUAACAUUGCACAUCUAUGCAUAUUGUUCCUUUUUCAUUACAAAGAGUAGAAAAUAACACCACAAAAAUAUAUCUUGUUUGAACAUACAGUACCAGUCAAAAGUUUGGACACACCUACUCAUUCCAGGGUUUUUCUUUAUUUUUACUAUUUUCUACAUUGUAGAAUAAUAGUGAAGACAUCAAAUCUAUGAAAUAACGCAUAUGGAAUCAUGUCGUAACCAAAAAAGUGUUAAACAAAUCAAAAUAUAUUGUAUAUUUGAGAUUCUUCAAAGUAGCCAGCCUUUGCCAUGAUGACAGCUUUGCACAUUCUUGACAUUCUCUCAACCAGCUUCAUGAGGUAGUCACCUGGAAUGCAUUUCAAUGAACAGGUGUGACUUGUUAAAAGUUCAUUUGUGGAAUUUCUUUCCUUAACCUGUCUGGGCUAGGGGGCAGUAUUUUCACGGCCGGAUGAAAAACGUACCCAAUUUGAUCAGGUUUCUACUCUGGCCCAGAAACUAGAAUAUGCAUAUCAUUAGUAGAUUUGGAUAGAAAACACUCUGAAGUUUCUAAAACUGUUUGAAUGGU
rnacentral:lncRNA from 1 species